UACGUAGGUGACGAACGUUAUCCGGAAUUAUUGGGCGUAAAGGGUGCGUAGAUGGCCUGAUAAGUUAGCAGUGGGAAAUCGAGGCUCAACCUCGUGGAAGCUGGUAAUACUGUCAGGCUCGAGUGCAGGAGAGGUUAACGGAACUCUAUGUGGAGCGGUAAAAUGUGUAGAUAUAUGGAAGAACACCAAUAACGGCGAAGGCAGUUAACUAUUCUGUUACUGACAUUGAGGCACGAAAGCGUGGGGAGCAAAACGG
rnacentral:rRNA from 1 species